CAAUAGCGUAUAUUAAAGUUGUUGCAGUUAAAAAGCUCGUAGUUGGAUUUCUGGUGGGAGCGAUCGGUCUGGCGCUUAGCGCGAGUACUUGCAUCGUCUCCGGCCAUCCUUGGGGAGAGUCUGUCUGGCAUUAAGUUGUCGGGCAGAGGAUCCUCAUCGUUUACUGUGAAAAAAUUAGAGUGUUCAAAGCAGGCUUAUGCCGUUGAAUAUAUUAGCAUGGAAUAAUAAGAUAGGACUUUGGUACUAUUUUGUUGGUUUGCGCACCAAAGUAAUGAUUAAUAGGGACAGUUGGGGGUAUUCGUAUUCCGUUGUCAGAGGUGAAAUUCUUGGAUUUACGGAAGACGAACUACUGCGAAAGCAUUUGCCAAGGAUGUUUUCAUUGA
rnacentral:rRNA from 1 species